rnacentral:rRNA from 1 species
GAUGAACGCUGGCGGCGUGCCUAAUACAUGCAAGUCGAGCGAACGGACGAGAAGCUUGCUUCUCUGAUGUUAGCGGCGGACGGGUGAGUAACACGUGGAUAACCUACCUAUAAGACUGGGAUAACUUCGGGAAACCGGAGCUAAUACCGGAUAAUAUUUUGAACCGCAUGGUUCAAAAGUGAAAGACGGUCUUGCUGUCACUUAUAGAUGGAUCCGCGCUGCAUUAGCUAGUUGGUAAGGUAACGGCUUACCAAGGCAACGAUGCAUAGCCGACCUGAGAGGGUGAUCGGCCACACUGGAACUGAGACACGGUCCAGACUCCUACGGGAGGCAGCAGUAGGGAAUCUUCCGCAAUGGGCGAAAGCCUGACGGAGAAACGCCGCGUGAGUGAUGAAGGUCUUCGGAUCGUAAAACUCUGUUAUUAGGGAAGAACAUAUGUGUAAGUAACUGUGCACAUCUUGACGGUAGCUAAUCAGAAAGCCACGGCUAACUACGUG